rnacentral:rRNA from 1 species
CUCAAAUCAGGUAGGACUACCCGCUGAACUUAAGCAUAUCAAUAAGCGGAGGAAAAGAAACCAACAGGGAUUGCCCUAGUAACGGCGAGUGAAGCGGGAAAAGCUCAACCUGAGAAUCGGUCACCGAUGCCGGUGGUCCGAGUUGUAGUCUAGCGAUGCGUGGUCAGCGUGUGGCCCCGGCCCAAGUCCUUUGGAACAAGGCGACAUGGAGGGUGAGAUCCCCGUUCAUGGCUGGGAGCCCGCCGCGUACGACGCGCAUUCCAAGAGUCGAGUUGUUUGGGAUUGCAGCUCUAACUGGGUGGUAUACUUCAUCUAAAGCUAAAUACCCGCGGGAGACCGAUAGCGAAAAAGUACCGUGAGGGAAAGAUGAAAAGAACUUUGAAAAGAGAGUUAAACAGUACCUGAAACUGCUAAGAAGGAACGUAU